UGCACACUCACUCACACCCGCUCUGCCUGUCUGACACAGACUCUACUUAGAGCGUUGGAGGGAGGACUGAAGCUCACACUAUCAGCACAGCUUCUCAAUGAGGGGAUGCAGCCAAGAGCAGACAGAGCGGUCAUUCCACUGGAGCCUUCCGCUGCACGCGUGAGAAGAAGACGACAAGUGAGGAGGGUAAAUUAGCCCCCUGUCAACACCACAUAGGAGUUUCACUGAUGGAGAAGAGACACUCAAGGAAGGAGAAGAGAUCUGCACGAAUGUAGCUGAUACAGCUGUGACAUGAUCAGCCUCCCAACCCUCAAAUCCUGCCCAGUUUGUGACACGGACCCCUGGGGUUUUCGCUUUUGGUGACUGUGUUGCCAAGGAUUUCAAAAAGAACCUGAACAGCUGGGGUGCAGAGGAGGGAGCACGGGGGAGGAGAACAGCAUUUAAGCCCCUUUCGUGCAGUGUUUGGCUCACCUGGAGGUGGAAUUUCGAGCAGAAAUCCCUGGCUUCACAGAAUGGAUGGAUUUAAGACAGAGGAGUGAGACUGCUAGGCGAGCAGGCAGUGAUUCUGACUGAACUCUUUUUUUCUACUGAACGCACUGCUCAGCUGGGUGCCGUCUUGCAGAUUUGGCCUUACCAUGUCCUGGCUGCUGGCCGUGUGGAUUAGCCUCGGCUUUCUGCUGCUGUGCCAGGCCACACUAUACCAGACCAUCCAGCAACACCAUGUGGCCCGGCCCGGUCGCACUGACAUCCUCACCCUGGAGGGUGGAACGUGUCAGGUGAUCGCUGCCCACCGAUGCUGUAACAAGAAUCGUAUUGAAGAGCGCUCUCAGACAGUCAAGUGCUCCUGUUUACCUGGGAAAGUGGCCGGGACGACACGCAACAAACCCUCCUGUGUGGAUGCAUCCAUUGUAAUUGGGAAAUGGUGGUGUGAGAUGGAACCAUGUCUGGAGGGAGAGGAAUGUAAGACUCUGCCUGACAACUCUGGAUGGAUGUGCUCCUCUGGGAACAAAAUCAAAACUACAAGGAACACCCAGCCAUACUCCCCUUUUUAGCUUCCGGAAGCAAAAUGCAGAGGAUGCGUCAACAGAAUUUGAGCUGCAUUCUUGCUUCUGUAAAGAUUCAUCCCAGAACCUAACAGAGAGCUCCCAUUGCAGGGCUGAGCGUCAGGCUCUUCCCAUCGUGCACCUUUUCUCUUCCCAUCGAAUGGACUAAAACUAUUACAUCUACGGCUGCCGACUGGCUUACCUGAGACCACAGAAAGGAUAUCCACCCAGAUAAAACAGCUUUGCUCACGUGGUGCCAAGGAUUUGAAACCAGACUAAUCCCCUGUUUGAUCAAUGAGCCCCAUGUUGGUGACUCUCCUCCACACAGCUGUGGCCAGUUUCCGACCCACUCUCUUUCUGUUUCCCUCAGUCUGUCUUCUCCUCCAAAACUGAGACAGCUUAGCAGGGCUUAUUUAGAGGUUGUUAAAACAUUUGAAGACAAUCUCUCCUGGGUUGCCUGUAGGUAAAUCGGUUUAGGAGCUUACACAGACCUGAAAGUGGAAUUCACAGAACUGAGGGCAAAAACAGAGAGAAAUUACCCUCAUAUUCAGUUAUUUCUGUGUGGAAGGCAUUUGUAUAUGACUCCCAACAUUGCUCUGACUACAAAGAGGACAGUUAGCUGGAAAACAAUGGAUUUUCAAUAACUGUGACUAUUAGCAGCCCACAGUGAGAUAAAAAAGCGAGUUUUGGGCUUCACCUUCAUCCUCCAUAAUAGACUUUGGGACUUUAAUCUGUGGGCAUGCCCAAUGUAAAUUCAUGAGCACUACUUUUCUUUUUAUGUAAGAUCAUUUGUAUAUAUAAAACACAUAUAUAAAUACAUAACAAACACUGUAAGAUCCAAGAGGCUGAAAAUAUAUUUACCAUUCUAUUAGGGGGUUAAAUUCCAUGGAGGAAUACUGAUUAGCUCCUGAACAUAACCCAGUAUACUGGAGUAUACUGGACUUUUUUCUUUGAACAAUGUUGUUGGUUGAGCCAGAAAAUGCUUGCAGUUUCUGUAAAGAUGACAAAACAAUGUAUAAAACUGACUCACAACACCAAUCCCUACCACUCAGACACAGUAGGGACGUACAGCAGCUGCAGACUAACUCUGACCAUGAUCAUGGGCUGUGGUCCUGGGCAAGAGUAUUUUUCAUGUAGAUCUCCCUUUCACAUAACAGAGAGAGAAGAUUUAUUCAAAAUGAAAGUGAGAAAGUAUUAGCCACAAUGGAGAAACAUAGUUAUCCCCCAGUAGUUAUAAGUACAUUACAGGACAGCCUUAUGAGAAAUAAAAAUUGUUUUCUAUA